UUUAAUAACAAAACUUUUCAGAUUUUUAAACAUUUUCGUCGGUUUACCAAUUUAUUUAUUUAGUUUGUCACCUUGUUUGGCAAUUAUGCACUUUUGGAGUCGUAAGUAAUUUUCUGUUAAAUACGCCACCGAUUUAAUAACAAAACUUUUCAGAUUUUUAAACAUUUUCGUCGGUUUACCAAUUUAUUUAUUUAGUUUGUCACCUUGUUUGGCAAUUAUGCACUUUUGGAGUCGUAAGUAAUUUUCUGUUAAAUACGCCACCGAUUUAAUAACAAAACUUUUCAGAUUUUUAAACAUUUUCGUCGGUUUACCAAUUUAUUUAUUUAGUUUGUCACCUUGUUUGGCAAUUAUGCACUUUUGGAGUCAUUUUUAAACAUUUUCGUCGGUUUACCAAUUUAUUUAUUUAGUUUGUCACCUUGUUUGGCAAUUAUGCACUUUUGGAGUCAUUUUUAAACAUUUUCGUCGG